GGUAGUAGGCUUUCGAGCCUAUACAGCUUGGAGUAAGACAACAUGCAUAAAGAGGAUGAUGUGGUCAAAAUACUCAUUUGCCUAAUAAUUCUGCACUCCCUGUAGUUUGAUGAGUAUCUGGGUUUAGAUAGUCUUUUUAAGUGAAUGACUCUCAAUUGACAAAGCAUCAAAUGAUUUUCAACAGUACAGCCAUCUGAAAGGGACAAUAUUGACAAUAUGUAUAAUUAUUUUUAUUUUUUCUUCUUCCAAACAUGACGACAGAAGAUUUCAAAUAUUCUUCAUUUUAUGUC